rnacentral:misc_RNA from 1 species
AAGGAGUCUAACAUGCUUGCGAGUAUUUGGGUGUCAAACCCGGAUGCGUAAUGAAAGUGAAUGGAGGUGGGAAGCGCAAGCUGCACCAUCGACCGAUCUGGAUUUUCUAAGAUGGAUUUGAGUAAGAGCACGUAUGUUGGGACCCGAAAGAUGGUGAACUAUGCCUGAAUAGGGCGAAGCCAGAGGAAACUCUGGUGGAGGCUCGUAGCGGUUCUGACGUGCAAAUCGAUCGUCAAAUUUGGGUAUAGGGGCGAAAGACUAAUCGAACCAUCUAGUGGCUGGUUCCUGC